AUUUGGCGCUCUAUUUUAGUGA
rnacentral:snRNA from 1 species